AAAUUGAAGAGUUUGAUCAUGGCUCAGAUUGAACGCUGGCGGCAGGCCUAACACAUGCAAGUCGAACGGUAACAGAAAGCAGCUUGCUGCUUUGCUGACGAGUGGCGGACGGGUGAGUAAUGUCUGGGAAACUGCCCGAUGGAGGGGGAUAACUACUGGAAACGGUAGCUAAUACCGCAUAACGUCGCAAGACCAAAGAGGGGGACCUUCGGGCCUCUUGCCAUCGGAUGUGCCCAGAUGGGAUUAGCUAGUAGGUGGGGUAACGGCUCACCUAGGCGACGAUCCCU
rnacentral:rRNA from 1 species